AUGAGAAGGCUGAGGCUUAGAAAGGUUGACUUUGGUCACCAGCUGGGUAAGCGACAAAGGCAGGCUCUGUACCUAGCCUUGUGGACUCCAAGGACUCCUGACUAAGCAUCUCAGGAAAUCAGUGAGUGGCAGCAGCAGAGGCCAGGGCCAUGCCGCAUUUUCUGGACUGGUUUGUGCCCGUCUAUCUCAUGAUCUCCAUCCUCAUCCUGGUUGGUUUCGGGGCCUGUAUCUACUACUUCGAGCCCGGUUUGCGGGAAGCCCACAAGUGGCGAACACAGAGACCCCUGCUGGACCGGAACUUUCGCAAGACCCUGAUGAUCCAGGACAACCUGGCAUUUGGGAGCCCCGAUGUCUGAUGGGUCUGGGGCCGAGACAGAUGGGGGGACAGGGAUCCCUGCCUCGGGGUCUGGUCCUGUGCUAGCAGCCUCUAAAGCCACACCCUUGCCGGUCCUGCUCCCAGCUCCCUGCCUCUGCCUCAGUGACCCUUUCUAAUCGCAGGAGUGAGGUUUGGCCUUCAAUCGGUCACUUACUCCCCUGGAUGCUGCAGCAUCGGCCACCCAGCUAAGGCCCCGCACUCUUUGCCAGCCCAGGAUCCCCCCAGAGCGGGAGGCAAACUGCCAGCCCCACUCUGAGGCCUGAGGUCCCCAGGCUUGGCCAGAGCUGCCGUUUCUUCUCCUCUCUGUCUCUUCUUGCUAGCUCAAGCCAAGAAGCCUCAGGAGGGGAGAAGCAGACGGGCAGGCUGGGGUCCCUCGUGUCCACUCCUCCUCCACUCCCAGAGUCCCACAAGAGGGGGCGACUUCUGGGGAACAAGGACAAGCCCUGCAUCUGCCUUUCGUGCCAACCGAGUGCUGCUGCUGGUUCAUUCUCAAGUAUCUGAGCAUCCCCCACCUCUCGUGCCAAUAGCUUACUCCUCAAAUGUCGUGUGAAAGGGUCUUGUUGCCGCACGGGCUGGGGUCAGUGUGGGGACGGAGGUACCUCUGGUCUAGCGGAUGUGUGGUCCUGUGCUGCCCUGUCUGAACCAUACCUGGGUCCACAUCUCCAGCACCACAGCUCUGCUCACCUGCACUACCACCGACCCCCAGCCCUGCUGCUGCCUCUUGUGGAGAGACUUCAGUCGUGAAUGUGAAAUGUGGCUAUGCAACUUGUCUCCCCUCUCCCUCCCUCCCUCCUCUGUCUGUCUGUCUCUCUCUUUCAUUGUCUGUUAAAAGACGUUAAUAAAUGCCUUCUGGUCCCUCCA
rnacentral:lncRNA from 1 species